rfam:Camelus ferus unplaced genomic scaffold scaffold13326, whole genome shotgun sequence.
GAGGGUAGAGCUCAGUGGUGGAGCACAUGCUUAGCAUGCACGAGGUCCUGGGUUCAAUCCCUAGUACCUCCA